UGUCCACGUGGAGGAGGCAGGGGAACCCCACGCCCACGGCCUCGCCCACCCACACACGGCUGGAGUUGACAGGACCCGCGGCCACGACUGCUCCCGAGCGCCCACCGUGGGCCACACCCCCGACGACCCAGCAGGGCAGGACCAGAGCUGCAAACCCGAAGGCACACGCAGGACAGCAGCCCGAACCGCCGGCCCGCAGGUCUUCAGGACCAGUCACACACGCAGAUGACGGGCCCAGGCCAGACACCGGAGGCCCCAAGGCGGGUUACUGGAUGGGGGCCUCUUACCCAAGACCUCAUCAGGCACCUUUCCUAGAUGCCCGGGGCUGGAAGCGUCUUUCAAAGCGCUCCCACCUGCCAUUCUUACGACAGCCCAGGGCGUGCGUGCAGGCGCCGUCUACAGGAGCAGACGCGAAGCUGAGUGGUGGCGCUGCAAAGUGGCCGGCGAGGGCUCCAGGCAGGUGCGCGGCUGGCCGGGCCGUCUUUGGGGCCUUAGCUCCUGCAGGUGCCCGAGACCCUCGGGCUGCCCUCUGGUGCCCGUGUCCUUCACUGCAACUCCGCAUCCAGCCCUGACCUACUCCCUUUCUUUCCGACCUUCACUGGAAGGUCCUCUAAGGGACACGGUCUAAGGAGACAUCUUGCCAGCACAGACCUACUCAUGCUAAUGGGGCAACGGUCCUAAGCUAAGAGGUGUAUUAACAGGCGUCUUUUGGAGAGUCACAGCGUUGAUGCAGACCUUCGGAUUCCAGCUCCUAAACAUCUCUCCACUCCUUCCGUCUUCCUGCCCGCUGCCACUGUUCCUAGCAAGGCACCAGCAGCUCGCCCUACCCUGUUCUGGGACCUGCCACCUGGAUCCGAGCAUGCACGCAGUCUUCUCAACGAUCCCCCUUUACCCACUCUCAGCGGCUCCCAAGCCAGUUACUCCACAACCAGCGGAAACUCUUAAGAAUGGAAAUCCAAUCUCAGCUGCUGCUGCUUAAAGGCCUUCAACGCCCCCAGUCCUCUGAGGAUUAAGAGCUAGCUUGGCUGAAGGGGAUUGAUUGGCCUCUGUCUGUCUCUAGGGCCUUUUGCAUGGCCUCUGCUCCCCAGACAGGUGCUCUUCCAGUCCCUCUGUGCACCUGCUCCACCCCAUGGGCUGCUGCAGCUUCGCCUCCCAAGGGAACCCUAGGUUACAGGAAGCUGUGAAAUAGAUGAGUCUAGAAAUAUGCCCAGCUCGGAAUGGUUGCUCACACCUGUAAUCACAGCACUUUGGAAGGCAGAGGCAGGAGGAUUGCUUGAGCCCAGGGAUUUGAGACCAGCCUGGGUAACAUGGUGAGAUCCUGUCUCUACAAAAAAAAAAAAAAAAAAAAAAGAAGAAGAAGAAAAAAGCAAACUCAGCUGGGCAUGAUGGUACAUGCCUGAAGUCCCAGCUACUUGGGAGGCUGAGGUGGGAGCACUUCUUGAGCCCAGGAGGUGAAGGCCACAGUCAGCCAUGAUGGCACCGCUGUACUCCAGCCUGGGCAACAGAGCAAGAGACCCUGUCUCAAAAUAAAAAAGAUUUAAACUUAAA